rnacentral:rRNA from 1 species
CCCUUAGAUGUCCUGGGCCGCACGCGCGCUACACUGACAUGUUCAACAAGUUUCUCCUAGUUCGACAGGACUGGGAAAUCUUUGAACGCAUGUCGUGAUAGGGAUAGAUCAUUGCAAUUAUUGAUCUUGAACGAGGAAUUCCUAGUAAACGCGAGUCAUCAGCUCGCAUUGAUUACGUCCCUGCCCUUUGUACACACCGCCCGUCGCACCUACCGAUUGAAUGAUCCGAUGAAUAUCAUGGAUUGAGGAUGCAAGCAGGUUCGCCUGUCUUCAUCUUCGAGAAGUGAAGUAAAUCUUAUCAUUUAGAGGAAGGAGAAGUCGUAACA